GAACUAACGUCUGUUAAAGCACGGUCGCGUCACUAAUUCGCGCGACCGACGCUGCCGUCUGCAGUUUUUAUACUCAAUUACCAAAUACUGCUAAUUCCAAUAUAUUAUAAUAUUGUGCUAAAUCGUUCCCGCUAUAGGGAGCGGAGUUAGUACUUCAAGAACAAAAUUGUUGGGCGCGAGGUUGCCUGUUUUGGCGAGCUGCGCGACGUGCCUUCACUGAGAACCCUAAUUGUCGUGACUCCCUCCUGCCUGCCGCUGCCCCUGGUGGACAAGUUCGUCGUCGCGUUCUCGUUGCUGCCGCCGUGGAUUGCAGGGGAGUGCGGGCAUUAAUGGACAGAAGUGAAAUAUAUUAUUAAGGCCUGUACCCACGUUAUAUAAAUUUGUGCCCGCCGGUUGAUUUAUUUUAAUAUACUUGUUAAUAAUAAUUAUUUACUUACUUUUCAUUAUUAAUAUUAGUACCUACCUACUCAAAUAA